AUGAACGCUGGCGGCGUGCCUAAUACAUGCAAGUCGAGCGAACAGACGAGGAGCUUGCUCCUCUGACGUUAGCGGCGGACGGGUGAGUAACACGUGGAUAACCUACCUAUAAGACUGGGAUAACUUCGGGAAACCGGAGCUAAUACCGGAUAAUAUAUUUAACCGCAUGGUUCAAUAGUGAAAGACGGUUUUGCUGUCACUUAUAGAUGGAUCCGCGCCGCAUUAGCUAGUUGGUAAGGUAACGGCUUACCAAGGCAACGAUGUGUAGCCGACCUGAGAGGGUGAUCGGCCACACUGGAACUGAGACACGGUCCAGACUCCUACGGGAGGCAGCAGUAGGGAAUCUUCCGCAAUGGGCGAAAGCCUGACGGAGCAACGCCGCGUGAGUGAUGAAGGUCUUCGGAUCGUAAAACUCUGUUAUUAGGGAAGAACAAAUGUGUAAGUAACUAUGCACGUCUUGACGGUACCUAAUCAGAAAGCCACGGCUAACUACGUG
rnacentral:rRNA from 1 species